ensembl:lncRNA
CAAAACCCCACUGAAUGUUGGAGUAAUUUCAUCAUUAAACAGCAUACGGCUAUUCCCCAAUACACGGUACGAAUAGGAGAGAGAGGGGGGGGAGAGGGGUGAGGAUGGCUCAUGAGAGCAGAGCCAGAUACCGGUACCUGCGCUGACCAAAAGACAGAAAGGAUUGUGGGUAAUCUUCUGCGCAAUUGAGGAUUUGCCAUGAGGGAAUAAACGUGCAUUUCAACCUGACCAACUCCAGAAGAUUUAGCCAGACAUCUCACAGUUACAUACCGUGACUAAGACGGACCGGGCAGGUGUCUUCUCCCCACUGCAUCGACCUGGAGCUGUGAUUGUUUCUUUGUUGUUUCUGAAUGUUAGUUUUAUUUAGCUAACAGCCAUAUUCCCUUGAGUGAGUAUUUUGCUAUAAGUAUGAGUUUUAAUGACUUUGGUGCAUCCGACGUGACUCCUCUCGGGUUUUGGCAGGGUU